rnacentral:lncRNA from 13 species
CUCUUCUGGCACAGGCUGGAAUACAAUGAUUCGAUCUCGGCUCACUGCAACCUCUGCCUCCCAGGUACAAGCAAUUCUCCUGCCUAGCCUCCUGACUAGCUGGGAUUACAGGCACCCGUCACCACGCCCGACUAAUUUUGUUUGUAUUUUUAGUAGAGAUGGGGUUUCGCCAUGUUGGCCGGGCUGGUCUCAAACUCCUGACCUCAGGUGAUCCGCCCGCCUCAGCCUCCCUAAGUGCUGGGGUUAUAGACAUUAGCCACCACGCCUGGCCAAAUUCGUGUUUUUAUAUCCCUUGAGGAGGCGUUGCCAGGGCCUGCCACACUGGGGCAAGCAGCUAUUUUAGAGUCUUUUUCCUGUUUACCUAUUUCAAGUCUAAUGAAAAUGUCAAUUCUCCUCUUUUAAAAGACUUAGGAAAGAGGUCACAUGCUGGCAGCCUGUGAGCUGCUGUGCCCUCAGUUGUUUUGUUUGAGCAGCAGGUUUUUUUCAUUGUGUGUGUGUGUGUUUUUUAAUGAAUUCACAGUCAGUCUUUAAAACUCAGAAAAUCUAACAGAAAAGUCUGGACUUCUAGUUUUUCUUGGAAAAAAAGAUUGUCUGACUAACCUGGGCCCAAAUUCCCUUAUGCUGACACGUGACAGGACUGAGCAGCCACUGUUCUGGUCCCCCACUCACCACAGGCCUGGCACUGUUUUACUUUACACCCAGCAGCUUCUUUCCCUUUUAUCACCUGGCUAUCUGCUGACUUGAGAGUACAAUAGGUAGAAAUAGUCACCAGAAGUCCACAGUUUCAGUCCCCACUGCACUGGGAAACCCUGGGCACCUACCAUCACAAUUUUAGGCCCUUGUUGCAUAUCAGGGAAUUGGGACCAGGGUGGUGAAGUGACUUGCCUGAGGGCAUCAGCCCAGUGUUCUUUCCAAUGCACCUGUGAUGAGUAACCUAAAUCCAGACAAAAGUGGUUCUGUUGCUCAGAGGAAAGGUAGGGCAUCGGGAGCUGAAGGGGCAGGACGGAGGGUGUGGUGCAGGGUGGAGGGUGUGGUGCAGGGUGGCUGUCUCACUUACCAGAUGUGUCUAAAAGGACAAUCCCCAUUCUCUUCCUGUUUCCUCUAUAGACGAAGACUGUUCACCACUCCUCUUCCUCGUUCCUCCACACCUGCUGCUUUGGAUUCAGAGGAGAAGCUCCCAGAAUCCCUCAGAGUGCACAGCCUCACUCUGGUUUGCAGAAACUCUGCCAAGUUCAUCCAGUUUUCCGCCCAUCUCAAUGUCCAGCCAUUACAGAAAAUGUAUUUGAAUAGAGUGCAGAGAAAGGAAAGCACAUGAAAACAAGGGGGUAAAAGAAAUGACCUGGGGCAGCCGGGC